CUUUUAUCUUUAGUGCCAAAGACACUAAGAGAAUGAACUCUUCCUGGUAACUAAUUAAGGUUUUAUUGCCUUCUCUCCCAUCAUCUCCUCUCUUUUCUAUUGUUUCUGUGCAGGUCCCACUUUCUGUAGUUGUUCUGGUUUUGACUUCUGUUUUCUCUUCCUUUCAGCAGAUGGAAAGGCAGCUCAACAUCUGAGAAGCCAGUCUUACUCCCUGCAGGCAACAGCUGCUUCCAGAAAACAGCCCUAUUACUUCACCAAAGUACAGUUCCUACAGGAAGAUAAUGAUCUGACCUAACCUACUAUUGGCUGAAGGAAGGAGAAAAGCAGCUGAAGAUGUCUGUUGAGUGAUUACCCUCAUAAUCCGUGACUAAGAACAUCCAAAUCAGCAUGGCUUCUUCCUGUCUGAAAUUAUUACUACUUAGGGUUUUUCACGUGUUAUUUCAUUUAUUGAUUAUUCUGUUUUAAACUUGCAAGACGUAUUGUCUCUUCAGAAAUAAAACUUUAUCACUUGC
rnacentral:lncRNA from 1 species